rnacentral:tRNA from 1 species
GCCGGGGUGGCCGAGCCGUUAGGCGGCAGCCUGCAGAGCUGCUUUACAUGGGUUCAACUCCCAUCCCCGGCU